GACGAACGCUGGCGGCGUGCCUAAUACAUGCAAGUCGAACGCUGAAGGAGGAGCUUGCUUCUCCGGAUGAGUUGCGAACGGGUGAGUAACGCGUAGGUAACCUGCCUGGUAGCGGGGGAUAACUAUUGGAAACGAUAGCUAAUACCGCAUAAGAGUAGAUGUUGCAUGACAUUUGCUUAAAAGGUGCAAUUGCAUCACUACCAGAUGGACCUGCGUUGUAUUAGCUAGUUGGUGGGGUAACGGCUUACCAAGGCGACGAUACAUAGCCGACCUGAGAGGGUGAUCGGCCACACUGGGACUGAGACACGGCCCAGACUCCUACGGGAGGCAGCAGUAGGGAAUCUUCGGCAAUGGACGGAAGUCUGACCGAGCAACGCCGCGUGAGUGAAGAAGGGUGUCGGAUCGUAAAGCUCUGUUGUAAGAGAAGAACGAGUGUGAGAGUGGAAAGUUCACACUGUGACGGUAUCUUACCAGAAAGGGACGGCUAACUACGUG
rnacentral:rRNA from 1 species